AAUUAAAACGAAUCUAUACACAGCAGGCCCUAAGAAAGAAAGAGCAAAAAUGAAAAGAAAAAAGAAUCAAGCUAAUCUGAGCUCGUUCAGGGAACUUUCAUCCACUAUAUGAAGUUCAUCUAAUCAAGAUUGGUUCUUCAACAUCCAUGGUAGACCACAGCUUCUUAGAUCUGAUUAACCCACUCUAGAAGAGGCUCUUUGCUUAUUGCAAGAGGAGAAGACUGCUGAUGAUCAGCUUGUAAGACUAAACCAAAUGUUUUUGUGAUCCAUUCCUAGGUUGACAUUUUCUUCUCUUUCCCCUUCAUCUUGUGAUGGAUCCCCUUUAUUACUUGUACCAUUAUUAUGUAUAUUAUUUGUCAUUGUUGUAAUGUUCUCUGCCAUUGUGUUCUCCUUUUGGUCAAGAGCCUCGAAUGUGUUCACUCUUCAAUGUGAUUAAUUGAGGAGCAUUAUUCACUUU